rnacentral:rRNA from 1 species
AAAAAACCUGGGGGAUGUUCUGUGUGUAGGGGUGAAAGGCCAAUCAAACUCCGUGAUAGCUGGUUCUCCCCGAAAUGCAUUUAGGUGCAGCGUUGCGUGUUUCUUGCCGGAGGUAGAGCACUGGAUGGCUAAUGGGCCCGACAAGGUUACUGACGUCAGCCAAACUCCGAAUGCCGGUAAGUGAGAGCGUGGCAGUGAGACUGCGGGCGAUAAGGUUCGUAGUCGAGAGGGAAACAGCCCAGAUCACCGACUAAGGCCCCUAAGCGUGUGCUAAGUGGGAAAGGAUGUGGAGUCGCAGAGACAACCAGGAGGUUGGCUUAGAAGCAGCCACCCUUGAAAGAGUGCGUAAUAGCUCACUGGUCAAGUGAUUCCGCGCCGACAAUGUAGCGGGGCUCAAGUACACCGCUAAGUCGUGGCAUUGAUGGGUUCUUCGGAGCUUGUUGAUGGGUAGGGGAGCGUCGUGCAGCCGGCGAAGCAGCAGAGUGAUCUAGUUGUGGAGGCUGUGCGAGUGAGAAUGCAGGCAUGAGUAGCGAAUCGAGGGUGAGAAACCCUCGCGCCGGAUGACCAAGGGUUCCUGGGGCAGGCUAAUCCGCCCAGGGUAAGUCGGGACCUAAGGCGAGGCCGACAGGCGUAGUCGAUGGACAACGGGUUGAUAUUCCCGUACCCGCUUCAAUGCGCCCAUAUCGAACCUCGUGAUGCUAAGAGUCCUUAAGUCCUCUGAUGUCCUUCGGGACUAGGGGUGAGGCUGAACGCUCGAUCCGAUCGGGUAGUAGGUAAGCGAUGGGGUGACGCAGGAAGGUUGUCCAGCCCAGGCGAUGGUUGUCCUGGGGUAAGCAUGUAGGGCGGAACGUAGGUAAAUCCGCGUUCUAUUCAGCCUGAGAUGUGAUGCCGAGCCGAUUGUGGUGAAGUGGAUGAUCCUAUGCUGCCGAGAAAAGCCUCUAGUGAGUGUUGUGGCGGCCCGUACCCUAAACCGACUCAGGUGGUCAGGUAGAGAAUACCAAGGCGAUCGGGUGAACUGUGGUUAAGGAAUUCGGCAAAUUGCCCCUGUAACUUCGGGAGAAGGGGGACCUCUGCUGGUGAUGGGCUUUACGUUCUGAGCUGGUGGGGGUCGCAGUGGCCAGGGGGAAGCGACUGUUUACUAAAAACACAGGUCCGUGCGAAGUCGUAAGACGAUGUAUACGGACUGACGCCUGCCCGGUGCCGGAACGUUAAGGGGACCGCUUAGCCAACGCGAGUUGGCGAAGGUGAGAACUUAAGCGCCGGUAAACGGCGGUGGUAACUAUAACCAUCCUAAGGUAGCGAAAUUCCUUGUCGGGUAAGUUCCGACCUGCACGAAUGGCGUAACGACUUCCCCGCUGUCUCAACCACAGACCCGGCGAAAUUGCACUACGAGUAAAGAUGCUCGAUUCGCGCAGCAGGACGGAAAGACCCCGGGACCUUCACUACAGCUUGACAUUGGCGCUUGGAACGUCUUGUGUAGGAUAGGUGGGAGACUGGGAAGCUGUCACGCUAGUGAUGGUGGAGUCAUUGGUGAAAUACCACUCUGGUCGUUUUGAACGUCUAACUCUGGUCCGUGAUCCGGAUCGGGGACAGUGUCUGGUGGGUAGUUUAACUGGGGCGGUUGCCUCCUAAAGAGUAACGGAGGCGCCCAAAGGUUCCCUCAGCCUGGUUGGCAAUCAGGUGUUGAGUGUAAGUGCACAAGGGAGCUUGACUGUGAGACUGACAGGUCGAGCAGGAGCGAAAGCUGGGACUAGUGAUCCGGCAUCGGCGUGU